rnacentral:rRNA from 1 species
CCUACGGGGGGCAGCAGUGGGGAAUAUUGGAAAAUGGGGGCAACCCUGAUCCAGCCAUGCCGCGUGUGUGAAGAAGGCCCUCGGGUUGUAAAGCACUUUCAGUGAGGAAGAACGCCUGGUGGUUAAUACCCAUCAGGAAAGACAUCACUCACAGAAGAAGCACCGGCUAACUCCGUGCCAGCAGCCGCGGUAAUACGGAGGGUGCGAGCGUUAAUCGGAAUUACUGGGCGUAAAGCGCGCGUAGGUGGCUUGAUAAGCCGGUUGUGAAAGCCCCGGGCUCAACCUGGGAACGGCAUCCGGAACUGUCAAGCUAGAGUGCAGGAGAGGAAGGUAGAAUUCCCGGUGUAGCGGUGAAAUGCGUAGAGAUCGGGAGGAAUACCAGUGGCGAAGGCGGCCUUCUGGACUGACACUGACACUGAGGUGCGAAAGCGUGGGUAGCAAACAGGAUUAGAUACCCUAGUAGUC